GCCGAAGUGGCGGAAUAGGCAGACGCGCACGACUCAAAAUCGUGUUCCCUCGGGAAUGUGGGUUCGAUUCCCACCUUCGGCA
rnacentral:tRNA from 2 species